AUACAGAACACCGAUUGCGAAGGCAGCUUACCAAACUAUAUCUGACGUUGAGGCACGAAAGCGUGGGGAGCAAACAGGAUUAGAUACCCUGGUAGUCCACGCAGUAAACGAUGAUAACUCGUUGUCGGCGAUACACAGUCGGUGACUAAGCGAAAGCGAUAAGUUAUCCACCUGGGGAGUACGUUCGCAAGAAUGAAACUCAAAGGAAUUGACGGGGGCCCGCACAAGCGGAGGAACAUGUGGUUUAAUUCGAUGAUACGCGAGGAACCUUACCCGGGCUUGAAAGUUACUGACGAUUCUGGAAACAGGAUUUCCCUUUGGGGCAGGAAACUAGGUGCUGCAUGGUUGUCGUCAGCUCGUGCCGUGAGGUGUCGGGUUAAGUCCCAUAACGAGCGCAACCCCUACCGUUAGUUGCCAUCAGGUCAAGCUGGGCACUCUGGCGGGACUGCCGGUGUAAGCCGAGAGGAAGGUGGGGAUGACGUCAAAUCAGCACGGCCCUUACGUCCGGGGCUACACACGUGUUACAAUGGUAGGUACAGAGGGUCGCUACCCCGCGAGGGGAUGCCAAUCUCGAAAGCCUAUCUCAGUUCGGAUUGGAGGCUGAAACCCGCCUCCAUGAAGUUGGAUUCGCUAGUAAUCGCGCAUCAGCCAUGGCGCGGUGAAUACGUUCCCGGGCCUUGUACACACCGCCCGUCAAGCCAUGGAAGCUGGGGGUGCAAAGAGUUCGUGACCGCAAGGAGCGACCUAGGGCA
rnacentral:rRNA from 1 species